CCCCGCGUCCCUGGGAUUCCCCUCUCCGCCUCCUCGGGUUCGCCUUGCUUCUUAGUUCCCCCCAAACUGCACAAGAGCUGGGUUUCCUCCACACCAAGGGAGGAGAAAUGUAAUCAUCGGUAUGACUUUCACUCGGCACAGCUUUGGUGAAAUCCGGGAACUGGAGAAGCUUUUGUUCACAAAGCAAACAAGGUCUUCAGCUUCAAUAUAAUUCCUUCAGUUUCCUUGAGGAAAUUCUCACCCCCAAAAUGAAAUGGCAGAUAAUUUUAUUGUUCGCUCCAGGAACCAUCUGAAGAUGCAGUAAUCCAAACAUCACAUUAUUCAAUUUACCCUCCUUAAAGUAAAUAUACUUUCCCAGGAAAAUAGACAGCAUCUAAAGAUUAUUUACUCUUAACUUUCAUCCUGGUGUGUCCACCGAUCCUAAACUAUUAUAUCACAGAUUUGCCCCAUCCUGAUCAAGUUCUACGUGAAAAUAGCCACCCUCAUCCAGAUGCCCCAAACCUCAUAAAUAUCCUGCCUUCACCCUCACCCUUCUGACAAACUACUGAGUCCUUUGACAAUAGUGAUAUCCCUUACCUUGAUAAGCA